GUCUGGCAUAUGAGGAACCUCAUUUUAAUGAGUAAUUUGCAUCUGAAUUCCUAUGAUGCUAUCACCUUGGAGAUCUGAUGCCUGUU